rnacentral:lncRNA from 1 species
UGGUGGCGGGUGUCUGUAAUCCCAGCUACUCAGGAGGCUGAGGCAGGAGAAUCGUUUGAACUCAGGAGGCUGAGGUUACAGUGAGCCGAGAUUGUGCCACUGCACUCCAACCUGGGCGACAGAGCAAGUCUCCAUCUCAAACAAAAAAAAAAAAAAAAAAAAAAGGAAGGAACUGCUGCUAUCAGAGUGAAGAAAUGUGAGGUCACCCUUUGCGGGAACAGGAGGCGAGCCGGAGGAAGUUCCUUUUCCUCUCUCCAGCCUCGCCGUCUCAGCAGAGCGAAACAGGGGAGCCCCUGGCAAGCAAAUGUUGGAAGGUUCCCAGCCCAGCGUCACAGCAGAGCAGAGAGGCCAACAUCCUUGGCAGAGCUGUGAGCCAACAGCCAGCCCCAGCCUGCCAGCCGUGUGAGCAAGCAGUCUUGGAAGGUGAUUCUACAGCCCCAGCUGAAACACUCCAACUGAUGCCAUGUGAGCCGAGAAGAGCAGCCAAACUGAGCCCUUCUCAAAUCCCUGAUCCUCCAAAUGUAGGCAAAAUAAAUUGCUGGUUUUAAGCCACUAAGUUUUGAUAUAGAUUGUUAUGUAAUAAUAGAUAUCAGAGCUCUAGCUAAGGCAGGUGCUGAAGGGAAGAUGUUUUUAUCAUUCAUAGAUAUCACAAAAUAUGUAUAUUUAAUGCAUUUCAAAAUUUUAGUUCUAACCAAUACAAUUCUUUGGAGUUUACUUUUCCCGUUAUAGAAAUGGUACAUUAUAAAUCACCUACCUGCGAGUCUCAAUCUACUCUUGUUAUUUUUCUAUGUUCCGUUCUAGUAUUUGCUUUAAGUGCAUAUUUAAUUUGUAAUUAAAUAUGUAAUUAUGAAAU